ACCCGUCUAGCUCAGUCGGUAGAGCGCUGGCCUUUUAAGCCAGUGGUCGUGGGUUCGAGCCCCACGGGGGGGG
rnacentral:tRNA from 1 species